UUCAAGGGCAAGAAGGGUAUAUACGUAUAUAUCGUCGCGCAGUGUGUCCCGGAAGGCUUAAUGGGCUAGCCCCGCGGGACAGGGCGAGCCGAGGGGUUUGUGUGGAAGUUUGCACCUGAGAGUGCGAGAAGUGGAUGGAGUGUUGCAGAACCGCAAUACGUUCUCGUUUUGUUUUGUUUUUGAUACAGGGUCUCGCUCUUCCGCCCAGUCUUGAGUGCAGUGGUGAGAACACGGUUUACUGCAGCCUCAAAAUCCUGGACCCAAAAGAUCCUCCCAUCUCAGCCUGCCUCCCGGGUAGCUGGGACUACAGGCGCACAACACCGUCGCUUCUUUGAUUAAAAGAAAAGGAUGAAACGGGCCCCAGAAAGAGGCGGUGACGUCCCAGAACCCAUGGCGGGGGAGUUGGGAAAAUAAAUAUUUGUAUUGUUAUCUCCCUUGUGGCUUUUUUUAACCUCCGAAACAGCAAGGUAUUUUUAAAAGGGAUGAAGAGAGUUGCUUCAAAUGUUUUGAGAUGUUAUUUUUAAUACGUGAGUUACUAUCUUAGAAACAAAAUGAACAAGAAAAAAAUGAAAAUUUUAGAAAAUA